CCAAGGAGGUCUUCAUACGAACUAGCAUUUCUGAGAACGAUCAGAUCAGGAUUUUGAAUGGACUUUCCGUAGAGGUCAGACGCAUGUACGGCUGCGAGCAACUAGCAGGGAUCAUCUUCAUUAUGUCUCUCAGUAGCGACAAUCGUCAACCCAUGCUCAAGUAUCGAGUUCUGAGCUCAUAUAGAAGUAGAUUAGAUCUAUUGCUUAC
rnacentral:lncRNA from 1 species